GGGGGGGGGGGAACGACACCUAUUCUUGCCUAGCAGUGGGCUUCGUCUCCCCACGGUAUUUACAAAGAAGAAAGGAAAGCAGCGUCCACUUUUGUGCAGGCAGAUCCUCUCUGGAGAGGCCCACUACCUCAACAGGGCUGCAUUUCUCUUAAAAGGUCUCAGAUAGCCUCGGCUGGAGUCAAAGUAAGACAAGGAUGACCUUGAAGUUCCGAUCUUCCUGACAGCCCCUCCCGGGGCUGGGAUUACAGAGUGCAGCUUAGCUGGCAGACACCGUCCAGAAAUCGGCUUCCGACUACAAGCUCCUCCAAAAGUGAUCUACACCAUCCCAGCCCCAGGGCCUGGACUGUCGUCACCCUGUGCAGCUUCUGCAGUGCCGCGGAUCGAACCCAGGCUUUGUGUGUGCCAGGCAAGCUCUCUGCCCACUGAGCCUCAGCCCAGUCCUGUUUCCUACGUGUUAUCAGGGUUCAUCAGACCUUCACAGAUCUGCCCAGGAGCCGAAUGACAUGUGAAAGUCCCACGCUUGCCUGCCUCGAAUUUCGUGUUGGUGGACUCUGGGCUCCUGUUUUACAUUCUGUGAUGUAGUCAUUGCAGCCUGGCAGUGGGGGUAUCAGACAGGUGAUGCUGGGUGGGAUGGGAAAGGAGACAGCGGGAGGCAGGAGGGCACAGCCCAAGUCGGGGCCAAGCCCAGGCUUUGGUGCAGAGACACUCAUGGGUCUAUGGGACCAUGGCAGGGGGCGGGUGGGAAUGAGGAAGUGUAGAGGAGCUGUCAUGUUUAUGGAGCCUUCUGGGAGCUAUGGCAAGACUGUCCAACCGUGUUACCAGCAUGCUUCGUGUCCAGUCAGGAUGGAAUCCAGGAGGUCAGGUCAAGCAUGAUCUCAGAGGACUGUGAUGCAGUGGGAUUUCCACUUCUAAAGCCAGAUGUAGUGACACAUGCCAGCCAUUUCAGCACUUGGGAGACUGAGGCAGGAGGAUUGCAAGGACAAGGACAACCUGGGCUACAGGGAGACUUCCAGGCCACCUUGGGCAACUCAGCAGGCCUUGUCUUAAAACAAGUAAAAAUGGAUGUAACACGGUAGUGGAGAGCUUGUCUAGCUUGUGGGAAGCCUUAGAUUUGACGUCUAACUCUGCAAAAUCAGAAGGCAGGAGACUCCUCCUCCUCCUUGGGUAUGUUCACCAUUCCGAGUGCACACACACUUUCUGUCUCCGUCCCUGACUAAGGGCCUACAGCUGUAAUCAAGCACCUGCCCCUUGCCUACCUCAGCCAGGCUCUCUCCAGGAGCACAGUAGAUGAGCAGGUCCAGAAGGGAUAGCGGCCUCUUCUUCGUCCCUCUCUUCUGUCUCCUCUGAGAAUCUGUCCUGUGUGCCAGCCAGCCACUUCCAGAGACAGGAGAGUGUCAGAGGGACCAAGUCCAGAGGCAGCCAGGUUCGCUUCUGUGAUGGACACUGAACCCAGACUGUGCCACGCUCCCAUGUGGAGGGCACCCCUGAACUACUCAACAGUCCAAAGGGACAAAUGCCACCGCUCUCCAACAGAUGAGGACCCCAAGGCUCAGUGGGGACGCCGGCACCAGCUGCUGCUGCUACCACCCAGGAUGUUGCUCUAGGCAGUGGCUGGCAACAUUGCCAUCUGCCUCUCCAGACUUCUUCCUUCCCAUCAGGCACUUUGGUACCCAUUCACCCUCCUGACGUCUUCACUCCCUCAAAGACUCUGACACACCUCCACAGCCCUUUAGAGGUAGCUUCCCAGGGCCGUGUCCUUCCAGGAGAUGUGGUCCCUGUAGGUAGGCAGAAGCCCAUCCCCCACCCAUUCCUGGAUCUGGCUUUGCUGUGGAUGCUGAUCCUGGAGGGUGGGGGUGAGGAUGGAGGAAGACGCCCUCACCCCUUCUGCUCAGCACCCUGCCAGGCACUUCCAGCACCCGUGGGAAUGUGCAGAAGGUAUUUUAAAGAUGCUGAAGUCAGCCGGGAUUCAAGGUUGAAUGAGGGUUUUUCACCAUGAUGGUACUGCUGGUACCUGCUUCUUCUGAGUGUCUUCAUGACCUUCUGCACCCCAGUGCAGCUGGAGACAUGGAGGCUCCACACGGAGAAGGGACCGACCCUCAGAUGGGCAGGUGGUGGCCUUGGGAGGGCAGGUGGGGCCUUAAACCACAGGCAUACCGACAGCACAUGGAAGGUGGUGUCCUAGCCGGAAGGCAAGCUGGCAGACACUGAGCCCACUUCCAUUCCCUCUGCCCCGGCUGCUUCUCAGAUGGAACAGGCUGUAUCCUCAGCAGUGCCAUGCGGGCUGGACAGAGAAGUCCCUUCCCUCUCUUGAAGGAUCCUGGGAAUAAUAGGUUUAAUACCCCUCCCCCAACGCUUUAAAGUCCCAACUCUUGUACCUAUGGUUUAUAACCCAUUUUGGAAAUAAGAUGUAUGUGUGUGUGUGUGUGUGUGUGUGUGUGUUAACGU